rnacentral:rRNA from 1 species
AUUGAACGCUGGCGGCAGGCCUAACACAUGCAAGUCGAGCGGCAGCGGAAAGUAGCUUGCUACUUUGCCGGCGAGCGGCGGACGGGUGAGUAAUGUCUGGGAAACUGCCUGAUGGAGGGGGAUAACUACUGGAAACGGUAGCUAAUACCGCAUGACCUCGAAAGAGCAAAGUGGGGGAUCUUCGGACCUCACGCCAUCGGAUGUGCCCAGAUGGGAUUAGCUAGUAGGUGAGGUAAUGGCUCACCUAGGCGACGAUCCCUAGCUGGUCUGAGAGGAUGACCAGCCACACUGGAACUGAGACACGGUCCAGACUCCUACGGGAGGCAGCUCUGGGGAAUAUUGCACAACGGGCGAUAGCCUGAUGCAGCCAUGCCGUUUGUGUGAUGAAGGCCUUCGGGUGUAAAGUUCUUUCC